AGAGAGAAAAGGAAGACCAGAUGAAAGAGCAGAUGGAGAGAUUGAGGGAGGAGCUGAGCUGUUAGUGAACUAUAGAAGAGACACAAACUUCCACUUUCAACACAGUUCAACACACAAAAGCCAAACAUCAGCUUCAUCCAACAUGCUGUCUGUGCAGACAUCUGUGUUCACUCUGCUGCUUCUAGUCAUUGGAACAGAUGUCAGCUGUGAAGAACUCACUGCAGUCAAGAAGGAAGAGUCCACUUUGGAAGGAACUUCUGUCACUCUGUCCUACAAAUAU